rnacentral:tRNA from 1 species
UCUAAUUUGGCAGAAUAGUGCAAUGGGUUUAAGAACCAUAUAUAAAGUAAAACUUUUUUUAGAA